AAGACUAUAGACCUGCGGAGUACCUGCGGAAGGAUCAUUAACGAGUUGAUUGCAUUUUGCAAUAAUUCAUUUCAAACACUUGUGAACGUUUUUAAAAUUUUGCUUUGGCUGAACGUAAAAGUUUGGCCAAAAGUUUUUAUUAAAACCAUUUUAAUUUUAACCAUGAAUCUGAAUUGAAUAAAUUUUAAUUAAUUAAAACUUUCAACAAUGGAUCUCU
rnacentral:misc_RNA from 1 species